UACGUAGGGGGCAAGCGUUGUCCGGAAUCAUUGGGCGUAACGAGCGUGUAGGCGGCCCGAUAAGUCCGCUGUGAAAGUCCAGGGCUCAACCCUGGAAUGCCGGUGGAUACUGUCGGGCUCGAGUCCGGAAGAGGUGAGUGGAAUUCCUGGUGUAGCGGUGAAAUGCGCAGAUAUCAGGAAGAACACCCGUGGCGAAGGCGGCUCUCUGGGACGGUACUGACGCUGAGACGCGAAAGCGUGGGGAGCAAACAGG
rnacentral:rRNA from 1 species